UGCACUGUAGCUUAACGGUAGAGCAACUCGUCCUGAGGACGGACGAGCUGGCGCGGGUUCGACUCCCGCCAGUGCAA
rfam:Macrostomum lignano uti_cns_0002129, whole genome shotgun sequence.